UGAAUGGAAAUUUAGGCAUAUUUUCCGAGGUAGGUAUUGGCGUUUUUGUGAAUCACUAGUAUUCUGACGUAGUCUUCUUUUAUUUUUAUCUGUUUUUAUAAAUUGUUUUAAUAUGUAACUGUUAUUAAAAUAUCAAUAUGACCACAUCAUUUUUAAUUUGUGGCUCCAAGUAGAAUUUCAAUAAUUAUUCCAUUGCCUUAAAGUGGUGUUGCAAUUGGCACUGAAAAGACCAUCUGUAUUUGGGCAAAAUAAGAAUGUUUGUCUGUUUUAUCUCUUAUUUGGUGUGAUCAAUUGCAUAUGGCCUUCGACAUCUGGGAAAUUACGUUUGUCAAUUGUGCAAGGCAGUUUGGCUCAUCUCUUCUAUUGGAAGAGCACAUCUUUCUUGUCAGGUUAUCACAUUUGUGUGUAUGUGUUUUGGUGGGGUGCAUCCAUUACAGAUCCAUUGCAUGCAUAUUGGUUUCACUGGUUCAUGUGAUAUAAGAUUACUUAUAUUAUUCCUUUGAUUUCCUCUCCCUCUCUCCCCUUUCCCCUCCUAAUAUAGAAUCUAAAUAUUCUUCAUGGAAAUAUUUUACAGAAUCCUUUGCAGCCAGUUAUAUUGUUUCCACAUAAGCUUUACAUUUUUUUUUUUGGGGUGAGGUGGGGGGUGGGGUUGGGGUUACAUGAGCCUUUACAUUUUGUUUAGUGGUUGCUGCUCAUUUCUGCGGCUUGCAUUAGGCAAAAUAUCUAGUACUACUAGGUGAUUGAAUUUUUCCUUGACUCUAGGAAAUCAGUAUAACUUUUUUCUUGAGAUUGGACUUUAGGUAGGAUUUUGCAUAGGCUCGUUGAGUCAGAUAUGCAGUAUACCAUCUUUUUUCAUCUGAACUGAAAGUGUUGCAUGUUGUGAAAUUGAUGCCAAUUUAGAGUUGUCAAAAGUCAAAGGUAAUUUUGAAGAGUUGGAUUUGGUUGGUAAGAUCUGAAAAGAACUGGCAUUGGAAGCUAACACAGGUCAGUUCUUCUCAAUAUUCACUAACUUUGUAAGCAGUAAUAAAAAAAUAGACUGAAAAAUCUAAAGCCAUUGCUGGAUUGCUACUAAAAGGCAAGGAUAGUCUGCCAAAAAAGCUGUUAUGGAUGGGCAACUAGCUGGAUGAUCAUUUACUGAAAGUAAUUUGUUAUUGAUUUGCUUUAUAUCUGUGUUUCAAAAUGAUAUGUUGUACUUCUAUUUUGUGGAACCUUAAAUGGUUUAUGUGGAUGAUAGCCCUAAAAUAGGAAGGGAAAUUAGCUUUUUGUCGUAUCCCCAAAAUGUUUAACCCCCCAAAAGAAUCUAGAGUCUGUAGUGAUGAUGAUAUGUUUCCAUCUUGCAAGCUGCAGUAGUUGACUUGUGAAAAUUGAUAUCUUUUGGUUUUUUUUCUAGGGUGCUAGAAUAAGCUAGGAUUAUUUGCCGCACAACCCGUAUGCCUAAAAUGUUUCUGGAUCAUGUUAGUAACUGUAUGUAACCAUGAGAGCCUAAGUGUUAUUGUGAGAGGCACAUGCCACAUGUGAAAUCAUUAUUGCAUGUUAAGUCAGGUAUUUUAAUAUUUAAGCUAAUGAUAUGAGGUGCAGUAAGAUGAGCUCAGUUUUGCAAUGCUGUCACUGGUUGAGUCGUGGGAGGUGGAGAUGGGUCAAAAUAACUUUUGGACUGCUAAAAGGGAGUUUAGUAGAAGGUGCUUCUCAUGAUUUUUUGAAUUGACAGUUUUAGAUGUUGCUGUAUGAGUUUUGAGAUGUUCCUUCAAGGAUUGACUUGCUUUUGUCUACUACUUUGUCUGUUGUAAAUGUCUGAGGGUUAGGGGAAAAUAUGACCUUCUCAGCUUUGUUCUAGUAGUAUCUAAUGAUUCAUUUGUAUUCAUAACUGGUUAUAUCGCUUCAUGCAUGUGCUAGGAUGGUUGUCUUAAAUUUUUUUUAGCAAUGAUUUUCAUGGCUAGCUGACAUCUUCUAUUCCUUGCUCAUACUGCAGGCCAGCCCAAACGGCAUCUGCUUACUACAGGGUGGAGUAUUUUUGUGAGUCAAAAGAAUCUUGUUUCAGGGGAUGCGGUGCUAUUUCUAAGGGGUGAAGAUGGGGAGCUGAGAUUGGGGAUUAGAAGAGCUGUUCGACCAAGAAAUGGUCUUCCUGAUUCAGUUGUUGGCAAACAGAAUUCCUAUCCCAGUGUUCUUUCUCUAGUGGCUAAUGCAAUUUCCACCAAAAGCAUGUUUAAUGUUUUGUACAGUCCAAGGGCCAGUCAUGCAGAGUUUGUAGUACCCUACAAAAAGUAUAUGAAAAGCAUCAUGAAUCCAGUGUGCAUUGGGACAAGAUUCAAAAUGAGAUUUGAAAUGGAUGAUUCUCCAGAAAGAAGGUGCAGUGGUGUUGUCACUGGAAUGAGUGACUUGGAUCCUUAUAGAUGGCCUAACUCAAAAUGGAGGUGCUUAAUGGUGAGGUGGGAUGAAGAUGUUGUUAGUGAUCAUCAAGAACGAGUUUCUCUAUGGGAGAUUGAUCCUUCUGUUUCACUCCCACCCUUGAGCAUUCAAUCUUCCCCAAGGCUGAAGAAACUGCGGACUGGUCUGCCAGCAAACCCACCUGAUAACCCCAUAACUGGAGGGGGUGGUUUUUUAGACUUUGAGGAGUCUGGAAGAUCCUCUAAGGUCUUGCAAGGUCAAGAAAAUGUAGGUUUUGUGUCACCCUUAUAUGGACAUGACACGUUAAACCGCCCACCAGAUUUUGAGAUGCAAAACUCAGCGCAUCAAAAUCUUGUGUCAACUGGAAGAGAUAAGGCUAAUAUUAGCGAGAUAACAAGGGCUCGCUCAACCACUUACACAGGCUUUGCGGAAUCUAAUAGGUUUCCGAAGGUCUUGCAAGGUCAAGAAAUAAUUCCAAGAUCACCAUUUAGAAGAUCCCCAACUUCUAAUGAUGUCUCUGAAAAUGGUUGCUUUGGAAUAUCUGAUGGUGUUCAAAUGACAAGCUCAAGAAAUGGAUGGUCUGCCAUGAUGCAGGGUUAUAAUACUCAUAUGCGCCCACCCACACAGGUGUCUUCCCCUUCAUCAGUGUUAAUGUUCCAGCAAGCAUGCAACCCAAUUUCAAACCCAAGUCCUGCUUUCAAUUUAAGUGAUCACGAGGAGCAAGGCAUUGGCAUUCAAAGUUGGUUUCGUAAUUCUGAAACAUGUGAUGGAAAGCGCAUGUCCUCACAUUCUGAGCAUAUUUGCAGAAGGGAUGAUCAGUGGGGCAUCAGUUCGUUUGGUGUGUCUCGUGACCAUAUUCAACAUGGCAUAGCUCAAUCAACAUUUAGGGGUGGUCAUGAUAUAGUGACUUCAUGUAAAAGCAGCUGCAGACUAUUUGGUUUCCAGUUGACUGAGGAUAGGCAUGUUGCUAAUAAGGAUGAUGAUGUCUCCAUUCCUGCGACAUCUCUGAAGCCUGGGUCUUCCUUUCUGCCUCAUGUUGGUGAGCAGUUCCAUCUGAAGCCUCCAGCAAUAACCAAUGCUGUUGGUAGCAAUUGUACUAAAGUAAGCCCCUAUACUGAAAGUGAUAAGCUUUUUGAUAUUUCUUUGUGCUGCACAAGUAUUGGAUAGGAACUGUGCAGGAGUGCUGUAGGCAUGACAAUUGAUUUUUCUAUAUGUAAUAGGUGCAUCGAUAUGAUUAGCGAAUUGGAUCAUUCAUUAGGAUUUUGAAGGCAGUUUCGUGGAUGUAAGGUAGUUUAUUAGGUUCGAGAUGAUAAUUAGAAGUAGGCACCUGCGCCCAACAAUUCACCUGCAAUUUUCAAUGCUGGCCUAUUUGUGUAGCAUUUUGCAUAUGAACCUUGAACUUGAAAUCUUCGUUCACAACUCUUUGCUGUGUGAUUGACAUAGCUUGUUUUAUUGUAUUUCACUGAAAACCCUGUAAUCCAUUUUUAAUGGUAUUUAAUCAUUUGUUUUUGAGUCUAGCUCAGAAUGAGCAUAUAUUUCUAGUUCUCAUUGAUUUUAUAUCACUGAAGUCGUUGAUGUUUGUUUUGCAGGGGAUUCUGCAACAGCAUCCUGAAAAUUAUCAUAUAUACUAACAAGCUAGUGGUCGCACCUGAGGCUGCAGAAGAGAAUGCCUACGGUUGCAUGGAUAAUACACAUUUAGCUACUUGUGAUGAAAAGAAAAAUGUAAUUAAUCUCUUUAAGUUAACCCUCUAACUCCCCUGGCUAUGCCAAAAAGCUUUUUGUACUUGGAUUCACAGUGACGGAUACUUGCUCAACAUGGAAUUGUCAUAUUUUGUUAGUGGAAUUGAUGAUAUAUUGUCUGGUGCUAGCCCGCCAAUGCUGAAAUAUAUAAAUUAUUAAAUAUAAUAUUGAUAAUAUGUUAAUACUGUGUUCCUUUGUAC
rnacentral:misc_RNA from 1 species